rnacentral:misc_RNA from 1 species
GAAAUGCGAUAAGUAGUGUGAAUUGCAGAAUUCAGUGAAUCAUCGAAUCUUUGAACGCACAUUGCGCCCUUUGGUAUUCCAAAGGGCAUGCCUGUUCGAGCGUCAUUUGUACCCUCAAGCUCUUGCUUGGUGUUGGGCGUCUUUGUCUUGCAAAAAGACUCGCCUUAAAACGAUUGGCAGCCGGCCUACUGGUUUCGGAGCGCAGCACAUUUUUGCGCUUGCAAUCAGCAAAAGAGGACGGCAAUCCAUCAAGUACAUUUCUCACUUUUGACCUCGGAUCAGGUAGGGAUACCCGCUGAACUUAAGC